rnacentral:rRNA from 1 species
AAAUAACUACGAGCACAAGCUUAAAAUUUAAAAGACUUGACGGUACUUCAUAUCUACCUAGAGGAGCCUGUCUAAUAACCGAUAACCCACGAUUAACCCAACCUUUUCUAGCCCCACAGUCUAUAUACCGCCGUCGCCAGCUUACCUUGUGAAAGAAACAAAGCAAGCUCAAUAGCACCCACUAAUACGACAGGUCGAGGUGUAACUAAUGAAAAGGACAAGGAUGGGCUACAUUUUCUAAACCAGAAAACGGAUAAACUAUGAAACUAGAAACUGAAGAAGGAUUUAGCAGUAAGAUAAGAACAUAAUACCUAACCGAAGUAAACGCAAUGAAGUGUGU